AUUGAACGCUGGCGGCAGGCCUAACACAUGCAAGUCGAGCGAGCGGCGGACGGGUGAGUAAUGUCUGGGAAACUGCCUGAUGGAGGGGGAUAACUACUGGAAACGGUAGCUAAUACCGCAUACCAUCAGAUGUGCCCAGAUGGGAUUAGCUAGUAGGUGGGGUAACGGCUCACCUAGGCGACGAUCCCUAGCUGGUCUGAGAGGAGGACCAGCCACACUGAGGCUGAGAAACGGUCCAGACUCCUACGGUAGGUAGCAGUAGGGAAUAUUGCACAAUGGGCGAGAGCGUGAUGCAGCCAUGCCGCGUGUGUGAAGAAGGGCUUCGGGUUGUAAAGCACUUUCAGCGGGGAGGCGUUACCCGCAGAAGAAGCACCGGCUAACUCCGUGCCAGCAGCCGCGGUAAUAC
rnacentral:rRNA from 1 species